rnacentral:sRNA from 1 species
AUCUAUCUAUUGCUGCUAAUCUAUCGCUGCUAAUCUAUCGCUGCUAAUCUAUCGCUGCCAACCUAUCUACCGCGGCGAAUCUAUCUAUCGCUGCUAAUCUAUCGCUGCUAAUCUAUCGCUGCUAAUCUAUCGCUGCUAAUCUAUCGCUGCCAACCUAUCUACCGCGGCGAAUCUAUCUAUCACUAUCAUUACUAGUUCAAAAUAGAACUAGAGCAUAAACACACUAAACUUCUUUUGAUAGGUAAUGAUUUUUGGUAACGCUCAUAGCAUUAUAUCAUCUAUAUAGGGUAAAUCAUGGUCCCAUUUGGUCCCAUUUUAACAAAAUGGGACCAAAUGGGACCAGAAUCAGUAAUUUAUAAGAAGAACAUGACCUGGGACUAGAUUUAUAAUAUAAACAGUGUAAAGUGACUAAUUUAAUAAACACUAUAUGGGACCAGGACUAAGAAAUUUGAUAAUGGGACUGG